UGCGUAGGCGGCCUGUCAAGUCAGAAGUGAAAGGCUAUGGCUCAACCAUAGUAAGCUUUUGAAACUGAUAGGCUUGAAUACAGGAGAGGUAAGUGGAAUUCCUAGUGUAGCGGUGAAAUGCGUAGAGAUUAGGAGGAACACCAGUGGCGAAGGCGACUUACUGGACUGUUAUUGACGCUGAGGCACGAAAGCGUGGGGAGCGAACA
rnacentral:rRNA from 1 species